GACGAACGCUGGCGGCGCGCCUAACACAUGCAAGUCGAACGAGCGAGAGAGAGCUUGCUUUCUCGAGCGAGUGGCGAACGGGUGAGUAACGCGUGAGGAACCUGCCUCAAAGAGGGGGACAACAGUUGGAAACGACUGCUAAUACCGCAUAAGCCCACGGUGCCGCAUGGCACAGAGGGAAAAGGAGCAAUCCGCUUUGAGAUGGCCUCGCGUCCGAUUAGCUGGUUGGUGAGGUAAUGGCCCACCAAGGCGACGAUCGGUAGCCGGACUGAGAGGUUGAACGGCCACAUUGGGACUGAGACACGGCCCAGACUCCUACGGGAGGCAGCAGUGGGGAAUAUUGCGCAAUGGGGGGAACCCUGACGCAGCAACGCCGCGUGAAGGAUGAAGGUUUUCGGAUUGUAAACUUCUUUUAUUUAGGACGAACAAUGACGGUACCUAAGGAGGAAGCCACGGCUAACUACGUG
rnacentral:rRNA from 1 species